CGGACCCGAAAGAAGGUGAACUAUGCCUGUAUAGGGUAAAGCCAGAGGAAACUCUGGUGGAGGCUCGCAGCGGUUCUGACGUGCAAAUCGAUCGUCAAAUAUGGGCAUGGGGGCGAAAGACUAAUCGAACCUUCUAGUAGCUGGUUUCCGCCGAAGUUUCCCUCAGGAUAGCAGUGUUGAAUUCUCAGUUUUAUGAGGUAAAGCGAAUGAUUAGGGACUCGGGGGCGCUAUUAAGCCUUCAUCCAUUCUCAAACUUUAAAUAUGUAAGAAGCCCUUGUUACUUAAUUGAACGUGGGCAUUCGAAUGUAUCAACACUAGUGGGCCAUUUUUGGUAAGCAGAACUGGCGAUGCGGGAUGAACCGAUCGCGGGGAUAAGGUGCCGGAGUGGACGCUCAUCAGACACCACAAAAGGUGUUAU
rnacentral:rRNA from 1 species